rnacentral:rRNA from 1 species
UACGUAGGGUGCAAGCGUUAAUCGGAAUUACUGGGCGUAAAGCGUGCGCAGGCGGUUAUGUAAGUCAGUUGUGAAAUCCCCGGGCUCAACCUGGGAACUGCAUCUGUGACUGCAUAGCUAGAGUACGGUAGAGGGGGAUGGAAUUCCGCGUGUAGCAGUGAAAUGCGUAGAUAUGCGGAGGAACACCGAUGGCGAAGGCAAUCCCCUGGACCUGUACUGACGCUCAUGCACGAAAGCGUGGGGAGCAAACAGG